rnacentral:rRNA from 1 species
CUUGCAUCGAUGAAGAACGCAGUGAAAUGCGAUAAGUAAUGUGAAUUGCAGAAUCUCGUGAAUCAUUGAAUCUUUGAACGCACAUUGCGCCCUAUGGUAUUCCGUAGGGCAUGCCUGUCUGAGCGUCA